rnacentral:tRNA from 1 species
GCCCGCCUAGCUCAAUCGGAUAGAGCGUCAGACUCUUACAAGAACAGGCGGUCGUUUGCGUAUCUGAAGGCUGCGAGUUCGACCCUCGCGGUGGGCU